rnacentral:rRNA from 1 species
UACGUAGGGAGCAAGCGUCGUUCGGAUUUACUGGGCGUAAAGGGCGCGUAGGCGGCAACUCAAGUCAGCUGUGAAAUCUCCGAGCUUAACUCGGAACGGUCAGCUGAUACUGUUUUGCUAGAGUGCAGAAGGGGCAAUCGGAAUUCUUGGUGUAGCGGUGAAAUGCGUAGAUAUCAAGAGGAACACCUGAGGUGAAGACGGGUUGCUAGGCUGACACUGACGCUGAGGCGCGAAAGCCAGGGGAGCAAACGGG